rnacentral:lncRNA from 1 species
CGUGUUCAGACCGCUCUUUUUACCUGGACACCUGGUGACCUCGCUAACGAACGCAGUUUUGAAUUCGUGCCAGCGCCAUUUUAGCUGCUUGGACCACAGCAUGUUUGGAAUUUUUAGACAUCCUGGCAGCUUUAAAUUAACUCGUGAGAAGGGAUCUAACCAGUCCACAAUGAAGGCUUCAUUGCCAACGUUGCCGUGAGUCUUCUGGCAGAAAUGAUGACGCCUGUAUGAAUUCUUUGGUUUCCCUAAACAUGGCACCCUGUCUGUACGAGGCUCUCACCAUCUUCAAUUAAGUCUGCACCUAAAGACUCAAUAAGAGAGGGGAUCCUGCCAGUCCAAAGUGAACUCCCGAUGGACAUCUCGGUACUCCAGCAGAGCUUGUAUCUAGAAACUCCACUACACGUUUGAGUGCUUUCCUUAACUAAGGCAGGACCCAGUGACUCAUUACUCUUGAUCAGUCAGGGAUGUCUACCCAGUGUCAAGAGCAAUUUUGAUCCAAUUGGACACAGACAUAGAGCAACAAGUUUUGGGACAAAAGAUAUAAUUAUGGGAAAUUACUCAACAAAGGAGAGAUGUAACCAUGGAGAAAAGGUGCUGCUGCCUAUUGUAUGGGAUUACCGUGAAAAGGAGAAUGAAUCGCCAUGCAAUGCUGGGUCAGUCCGACGACAUUAGAAAAUAGAGCUAAUUUAGAGCCGCAACACAUUGAGCCCCAUGAUGUUAUUUAGGAAAAAGUUUUGAAGCUUUUGAGCAAAAAACAGUCAAAACUGUGCUUCAAAUGGUUCUCGAUAAACUUUAGAGGUUGUGUUACCGGAUUACAUGUAUUUCAGAGAUAAACAUGUCACUUUUUAAGGAAAACUAUUUACUCUUUGAUGACUCGUGAAAUAAAAUGCCAGAAGGUGGGGGAACA